rnacentral:tRNA from 1 species
UCCCUGGAGGACUAGUGGUUAGGCCUCGGCGCUCUCACUACUGCGGCCCAGGUACGAUUCCCGACCAGAGAA